GACGAACGCUGGCGGCGUGCUUAACACAUGCAAGUCGAACGGAAAGGCACUGCUUUUGUGGGGUGCUCGAGUGGCGAACGGGUGAGUAACACGUGUGUAACCUGCCCUUGAUUUUGGGAUAAGUUCAGGAAACUGGGGCUAAUACAGGAUAGGAGCUGCCGCUGCAUGGUGGGGGUUGGAAAGUUUCGGCGGGUGGGGAUGGACGCGCGGCUUAUGAGCUUGUUGGUGGGGGAGUGGCUUACCAAGGCAUUGGCCGGUAGCCGGCCGUGGAGGGUGGCCGGCGUCAUUACGACUAAGGGACGGCCCAGUCUCCAAUGGUGGGCAACAGGGGGAAGCAUGGUCCAAUGGGCGGGAGCCUGUGGCAGCAGCGCUGCGUGCGUAAAGACGGCUUGUGGGUAGUAAACCGCUUCAGCCUGUGACGAAGCGGGUGUGACGGUAAUGGGUAAAGAAGCACCGGCUAACUACGUG
rnacentral:rRNA from 1 species